rnacentral:rRNA from 1 species
UAGAGGAGUGCUCGAAGAGAACCGUAACACAGGUGCUGCAUGGCUGUCGUCAGCUCGUGUCGUGAGAUGUUGGGUUAAGUCCCGCAACGAGCGCAACCCUUGUCAUUAGUUGCUACAUUCAGUUGGGCACUCUAAUGAGACUGCCGGUGACAAACCGGAGGAAGGUGGGGAUGACGUCAAGUCCUCAUGGCCCUUAUAGGUGGGGCUACACACGUCAUACAAUGGAUGGUACAAAGGGUCGCCAACCCGCGAGGGGGAGCCAAUCCCAUAAAGCCAUUCGUAGUCCGGAUCGCAGUCUGCAACUCGACUGCGUGAAGUCGGAAUCGCUAGUAAUCGUGGAUCAGAAUGUCACGGUGAAUACGUUCCCGGGUCUU